rnacentral:rRNA from 1 species
CCUACGGGGGGCAGCAGUAGGGAAUAUUGCUCAAUGGGGGAAACCCUGAAGCAGCAACGCCGCGUGGAGGAUGAAGGUUUUCGGAUUGUAAACUCCUUUUGUUAGAGAAGAUAAUGACGGUAUCUAACGAAUAAGCACCGGCUAACUCCGUGCCAGCAGCCGCGGUAAUACGGAGGGUGCAAGCGUUACUCGGAAUCACUGGGCGUAAAGAGUGCGUAGGCGGGGUAAUAAGUCAGAUGUGAAAUCCUGUAGCUUAACUACAGAACUGCAUUUGAAACUGUUACUCUGGAGUGUGGGAGAGGUAGGUGGAAUGCUUGGUGUAGGGGUAAAAUGCGUAGAGAUCAAGAGGAAUACUCAUUGCGAAGGCGACCUGCUGGAACAUUACUGACGCUGAUGCACGAAAGCGUGGGGAGCAAACAGGAUUAGAUACCCCAGUAGUC